rnacentral:rRNA from 1 species
GAUGAACGCUAGCGGCAGGCUUAAUAUAUGCAAGUCGUGGGGCAGCGCAGUGUAGCAAUACAUGGGCGGCGACCGGCAAACGGGUGCGGAACACGUACACAACCUUCCGAUAAGUGGGGAAUAGCCCAGAGAAAUUUGGAUUAAUACCCCGUAACAUAAUGAUGUGGCAUCACAUUAUUAUUAUAGCUACGGCGCUUAUCGAUGGGUGUGCGGCUGAUUAGAUAGUUGGCGGGGUAACGGCCCACCAAGUCUACGAUCAGUAGCUGAUGUGAGAGCAUGAUCAGCCACACGGGCACUGAGACACGGGCCCGACUCCUAUGGGAGGCAGCAGUAAGGAAUAUUGGUCAAUGGACGCAAGUCUGAACCAGCCAUGCCGCGUGAAGGAUUAAGGUCCUCUGGAUUGUAAACUUCUUUUAUCUGGGACGAAAAAAGGCGAUUCUUCGUCACUUGACGGUACCAGAUGAAUAAGCACCGGCUAACUCCGUGCCAGCAGCCGCCGUAAAAC